rnacentral:lncRNA from 10 species
AUAUUCUCUGAAACAUCCUGUGCAGAGGUUCACUUUUUUCUUUUGAGUAUAUGCCUGCCUAAGAAGGCACAAUCAAAAGAAAAAACAAAACAAAACAAGAAACUGAACCCUUAAGCAUUCAAAAUUCAAGCCUAUUUUAGAGUUUUUGACUGGAUUUGCUUCCGUUUUUUAAAAGUAAUUAUUCUGUCUUGAUGAGACUGGACUUUCGUAAACUGAGCAACAUGUGAUAAAACAAUAUUAUGAUUUUAUUAGAUAAAGGAUGUUAUGUCAAGAGAACUCCUAAGAUCUUGUUUGCAUCUGUGAAAUUCUGAACAAUUGAUAAGAUAAUAUUUCCAGAAGACAUCAAUGACAAUUUAGCUAAGAGAGGAAAGGCCAUGUAAGAACACAGCAAGAAAAUGGUCAAACUAGCAAGAGAGGCCUCACCAGAUACCAACACUGACAGCACUUUGAUCUUGGACUUCUAACCUCCAGAGCUGUGAGAAAAUUAAUUUCUGUUGUAUAAGCAAUCUAGUCUGUUGGAUUUUGUUAUGGCAGCAGACCAAACUACUAGAAUGUGUUUUCCAAGUUGUUGAAUUCAAGGGAAGUUUGGAGACACUAAAAACAGUGUGCAUCCCAUUAGCAUAAAAUGAAACUUUUUAAUGUAUUUUUUAUUUUUAAUUGAUAAAAAAUAAUCAUAUACUCUUGUGGGGUACACUGUUUAUUUUUAAUAUGUAAUACCUUACAGAAUGAUUAAAUCAAGCUAAUUAACAUGCCCACCACCUCACAUAGUUAUCAUAUUUUAAUGGUAUGAACAUUUGAAACUACUGCCUUAGCAAGUUUGAAAUAUAUAUUACAUUAUAAUUAACUGUAGUCAGUAUACUGUGUAAUAGAUCUCAAAAACAUAUUCUUCCUUUCUAACUGAAAUCUUGUACCCUUUGACCAACAUCUCCCCAUCUCCC